rnacentral:sRNA from 1 species
CUACAAAAAUCAGUACUCGUACAAACACAAACAGUGUAAUGUAGGAGACAAGAAAUAUAAAACACC